GUCUACGGCCAUGCUACCCUGAACAAGCCCGAUGUCUGAUCUCGGAAGCUAAGCAGAGUCGGGUUGGGCCUGGUUAGUACUUGGAUGGGAGACCACCUAGGAAGACCAGGUGGUGUAGGCA
rnacentral:rRNA from 1 species